UCCGGUUGAUCCUGCCGGACCUGACUGCUAUUGGGGUAAGGCUAAGCCAUGGGAGCCGAACGCCCUAUCACUAUAGGGCGUGACGCACGGCUGAGUAACACGUAGCUAACCUACCCUCGGGACUGGGAUAACUCCGGGAAACUGGAGCUAAACCCGGAUAUGUGAGGAGUCCUGGAAUGGUUCCUCACUUAAAGAGAUCUUAGGGGGUUACUGCCUAAGGUCUGCCCGAGGAUGGGGCUACGGCCCAUCAUGGUAGUUGGCGGGGUAAUGGCCCGCCAAGCCUACGACGGGUAGGGGCCCUGGGAGGGGGAGCCCCCAGAUGGACCCUGAGACAAGGGUCCAGGCCCUACGGGGCGCACCAGGCGCGAAACCUCUGCAAUGCGGGAAACCGUGACAGGGUUACCCCAAGUGCUCCCGUUAAGGGAGCUUUUCCUCGCUGUAAGGGGGCGAGGGAAUAAGCGGGGGGCAAGACUGGUGUCAGCCGCCGCGGUAAUACCAGCCCCGCGAGUGGUCAGGACGAUUACUGGGCCUAAAGCGCCCGUAGCCGGUCUAGCAAGUCCUCUCUGAAAGCUCCGGGCCUAACCCGGAGAGUGGAGAGGAUACUGCUAGGCUAGGGGGCGGGAAAGGCCGGGGGUACUCCUAGGGUAGGGGCGAAAUCCGAUAAUCCUAGGAGGACCACCAGUGGCGAAGGCGCCCGGCUGGAACGCGCCCGACGGUGAGGGGCGAAAGCUGGGGGAG
rnacentral:rRNA from 1 species